rnacentral:rRNA from 1 species
GACGAACGCUGGCGGCGUGCUUAACACAUGCAAGUCGAACGGAGAGGCCCUGCUUUUGUGGGGUGCUCGAGUGGCGAACGGGUGAGUAACACGUGAGUAACCUGCCCUUGACUUUGGGAUAACUUCAGGAAACUGGGGCUAAUACCGGAUAGGAGCUCCUGCUGCAUGGUGGGGGUUGGAAAGUUUCGGCGGUUGGGGAUGGACUCGCGGCUUAUCAGCUUGUUGGUGGGGUAGUGGCUUACCAAGGCUUUGACGGGUAGCCGGCCUGAGAGGGUGACCGGCCACAUUGGGACUGAGAUACGGCCCAGCCUCCUACGGGAGGCAGCAGUGGGGAAUAUUGCACAAUGGGCGGAAGCCUGAUGCAGCACCGCCGCGUGCGGGAUGACGGCCUUCGGGUUGUAAACCGCUUUCGCCUGUGACGAAGCGUGAGUGACGGUAAUGGGUAAAGAAGCACCGGCUAACUACGUG